UACACACCGCCCGUCACAUCACGAAAGUGGGUUGUACUAGAAGUCCCGAAUCUAACCGCAAGGAGGAUAGGGCCCAAGGUAUGACUCAUGAUUGGGGUG
rnacentral:rRNA from 1 species